GAUGAACGCUGGCGGCGUGCCUAAUACAUGCAAGUCGAGCGAACAGACGAGGAGCUUGCUCCUCUGACGUUAGCGGCGGACGGGUGAGUAACACGUGGAUAACCUACCUAUAAGACUGGGAUAACUUCGGGAAACCGGAGCUAAUACCGGAUAAUAUAUUGAACCGCAUGGUUCAAUAGUGAAAGACGGUUUUGCUGUCACUUAUAGAUGGAUCCGCGCCGCAUUAGCUAGUUGGUAAGGUAACGGCUUACCAAGGCAACGAUGCGGAGCCGACCUGAAAGGGGGAUCGGCCCCACGGGAACCAGGAACGGGGCCCGCCCCAAAAGGGAGGCAAGAGUGGGGAUUCGUCCGCAGUGGGGGAAAGCCGGACGGAGAAACGCCGCGGGGGUAAUGAAGGUCUUCGGAUUGAAAAACUCUGUUAUAAGGGAAAAAAAAAUGGGUAAGAAACUAUGCACGUCUUACCGGUACCAAACCAAAAAGCCCCGGCUAACCACGU
rnacentral:rRNA from 1 species